GCGAAGAAAGUCAAUUUGGACACGUGGCCAAUCUUGUACCGUCAGAUGAAAAAAAUCCUCACGACGACUCUCCGGUUUAUCAUGUGAGUCGAUUAAUAGAACCGACUUACUUGUUUGUCAUGUUCUUAACGUCGCUAUUGAACCAGCUUUAACCCGACGAUAUUUGUAGCAGUUUUCAAUUGAUUUUUUUUUAAUUUAUUUUUCGAUAUUUUAUCAUCGCGUCUGCGUAUAUAAAGGUCAUCGUCUCCCUUCUCUCUCUCUCUCUCUCUCUCUCUCUCCGCGUUACGCGUCUUCCUCGUGCUUCAACAUUUUCCCGAGAAAGUUUCAUCUCGAGAAAAUUUGGAAUGGGGGUGAAAGUAGCACCAUACACUUCUCCCUUCCUCCAAUGGGCGUCUUCUUCUCAAACCCUAGCUUCCGGCGCCAUAUCAUCACGACGACAGAGACUGAACCGUCCGUCUCUCUUCGGAACGCCACUACUCUAUGGCUCCAAGUCCUGUGAACUAUCCAAACCAACCAAAACGCAGUCGUUUCGAAGAGUUUCUAGCGCAAGCUUCUCCGACGAGGAGUUUUCGAAAAAGAUCCAAGAGCUAACUCUCAGAUUCAACCACGAGAGAGAUGCCAACGAGAUGGUGCACUUGUCGAGUAUCGAAAUGAAAGCAAACAGCGUCCAUCUCCCUCUCUCCCUUCGUAUCAUAAAGAAGAAGCCACAAUGGGACGAAGGAGUCAAACAAGCCGCGUGCGACUCCAUGAGCAAAGCCUUCUCGUCGAUGGUGUCCAUGAUUCAAGAGCUUCAGAGCUUCACGUUACACAUGAGAGAGACUCUCUUCUACCAAGACUUGCAAGGGAUCUUGGUGCGCGUUAGAGAAGAGAUGCACGCAUCGUUCGUCUGGUUGUUCCGACAAGUUUUCUCCGCCACGCCUACGUUGAUGGUGUACGUCAUGUUACUCCUCGCCAACUUCACGGUUUAUUCACUCGGUGCCAACUCUGCUUUAGCAGCCGCCGCGACGCCGACCAGCACCGUGGCAGAGGUAGCAACCGUCAGUGAAACAAACGACAAGAUCGAUUCCUCGGUGGUUAAAUCGUUUUUUAUUCCAUCUCCCACGGUCGACGGUAGCAACAACGGCGGCGGUGGAAACAUCAGGCCGGUGUUAAGCGGGACAGAUGGUGAUGGAUUCGAUGUACCAGAAGGACCUUCGCGGUUGUCAUCUUCGACAUUUGGGUCAACGAUUAGUACAGAGACAUCAGUGUCGGGACAAGAUGAAGUUAGGCUGUGGAACUCGAUUGUGGAGGAAGCAGAGGAAAUGCAGUACAAUGUGUUGGAUCACGAGACGAGGAAGUGGUUCGUGUCUCCUUUGGAUGCUCGAGUGGAAGCAGAGAAGGACAUUGAUUUCUUCAGAACAGAGCUUCUCUACCAAACAGGACUGUCUCAAGAGCCUGAUAAUCCUCUGCUUCUUGUUAACUACGCUCAGUUCCUCUACAUCGUCUCCUAUGAUUAUGACAGGUAAAUAAACAUUUUUUACUUUCACUUUUUGUUCAUCUCAGUUUUUUUUAGCUUCUCAGUAAACUCGAAGUUAGGAUCGAAUCUUCCUUUAAGAUUCUUUUGUGAGCCUGCAAGUUGAUGAUAUUUCCUUUCACUAGUGGGGCCAUUUUUGUGGAAAUUGAAUUUAUUAUUUUAAAGCUUUAAAUUGUCAUAAUAAUUGAUAUAUAACCGACCAAUAGAGCUGAACCAUUUAUUUUCCUCUUCGAGUAAAGAAGACAGAACAUAAAAAUAUCUAUUGGCAUAAAUAAAGGAAUAAGUUUAGUUCUAGGCUUCUAGCCAACGAGCUUUGAGGAUCGAUGGUGGAGUUUAUGGUGGAGUUUUGAAGACUCCCAACCAAAUUCCAACAAGAAAAAGGUUGAUCUGUCCAAAAGUCUCUACCUCAGAAUCUGUCCUCUAGAUCUAUUUCCCACCCACUCGAAUUAACCCAUGUUUUUGUCAUUUUGGCUUUAAUUCAUACCUAAAUUAUUACUCUUUCCGUUUCACAAAAAAUAAAAAAUAUUUUUUACACAAAUUUAAAAAUAACUAAUAGAUUUAUUUUUUUGUUAAUUAUCCAUAGUUAACUCACAGUAUUUAAAACAUAUAUAUUUAUUUACAAAUUAAUAUAUUUUGGAAUAAAUAUUAAACUUAAAUUAAGUAUAAAUUAUAUUAAAAUUUUAAAAUGACAUUUUUGUAUAACAACAAAGUGUCAAAAUUACACCUUUUGCAAAACAGAGAUAGUAUUUGUAGUUUAGGUAAUUGGUCUAGUAUUUUAUUAGACUAUCUCCAAAUAUUCUUUUAUUUGAAGAAAAUAUCAAAA